UACCGUAUUAAAUACGGGACCGUAUCGGCUCAGAUCUCUAGCCUCAGACCAUUCAUCGGUAAUUGAUUCGGUUAUUAUUACCGAGAUAUUUUGUCACUGAAUCGACAGGCUUUCGACCCGAAAUUCGUCUUGUUGAAAUAAUUAAUAAGAUUAAUUCCCAGCUUAUAGCAUAACCAAAAACUAGCUCAUAAUGACUUAAAUAUGAACGAAUACCAAUUAUACGAUGUACUAGGAUGUUCUAGAGACUCUUCUUACUCUGAAAUAAAACGAGCAUAUAAACAAAAAGCGCUGCUGUAUCAUCCUGAUAAAAAUAUACAUGGUACAUUGACGGAUGAGUUUUUAAAAAUUGAAGAAGCUUGGAGAAUUUUGGGAGAUUCCAAGACGAAACGAAAAUAUGAUGCAGAAUGCAGGCAAACUGAUUUAGAAUCUGAAACUAUCCUUAUUUCAGAACGCAUCAAACUGAAUAAUAUGAAAAUGAAUGAAAAUGAAUUGAUGAGUUUCCCAUGUCGUUGUGGAAGCAAUUAUUUAGUAAAUGCAAAUGAUCUAAAUGAGGAAAAGGUACUUUACAUUGGGUGCCAAGCGUGCACAUUUUUUAUUGCCGUGGAGAAGAAUUAGACGUAGUCUUUUUACUCGUUGAAUGUCCUUAACUCACAAUUUUCUCACCACAAUCAGAUAAACUUUUCACUAAUUAAAGAAUAUAAAGAAUUUUUUAAAUGUAAACUGGAAAAUUAAAAUAUUUCGUUUAUUAAAUAUUCGUUAUUUAAAAAAGUAUUGUAAUUUUUCGAUAUUAAUAUCUCUAUUAAGCAAUAAACAAGCUUCGAAAUUGGUUAAAAAACAAGUAACUGUAAUCAGUUCACAACUCCAUAGAAAAACAGAAUUAAUUUGUAUUGGCGUAUUACAAGUGUCACAAUAUUUUUUUUUUUUUUUUUAAAUAAAAAACUAUUAUAGUAAUAUAAAUUAUUGAGCAAUAUGUAAUACAAAUAGAAUGUCAAUUAUAAUUUAGAUUUCGUUUAAUUAUGAAACUUUUUUCUUGCAUGGCUUUUCUCUCAAUUCGUAAACUCGAUAAAGCAGCAAAACCUUCGGUCAAUGUGCCUACUAUAAGAGCACUCAAGGGGCAGUUUUUUGAUU